GACGAACGCUGGCGGCGUGCCUAAUACAUGCAAGUCGAACGAAGCUGUUUUAACUGGUGCUUGCACCGACUUAAACAACUGAGUGGCGAACGGGUGAGUAACACGUGGGUAACCUGCCCCAAAGCGGGGGAUAACAUUUGGAAACAGAUGCUAAUACCGCAUAACCACAGAAACCAAAUGGUUUCUGUGUCAAAGAUGGUUUCGGCUAUCACUUUGGGAUGGACCCGCGGCGUAUUAGCUAGUUGGUAAGGUAAUGGCUUACCAAGGCAAUGAUACGUAGCCGAACUGAGGUGUUGAUCGGCCACAUUGGGACUGAGACACGGCCCAAACUCCUACGGGAGGCGGCAGUAGGGAAUCUUCCACAAUGGACGAAAGUCUGAUGGAGCAACGCCGCGUGAGUGAAGAAGGUUUUCGGAUCGUAAAACUCUGUUGUCAGAGAAGAACGUGUGCGAGAGUAACUGCUCGUGCAGUGACGGUAUCUGGCCAGAAAGCCACGGCUAACUACGUGCCAGCCGCCGCGGUAA
rnacentral:rRNA from 1 species